rnacentral:lncRNA from 1 species
UACCCACAUGUGAAUGUUUAUGCUAAGUCCAUAUAAGUCUUCUCUUCCAUCUGGUCCAUUGUUGGUGAAGAAACCCAUUGUAAGAGCUGUCUAAGGUGAUGGGGUCGUUCCUUUGUAAAGUAUUAAAGCACUGAACCAAUUUUUGCAAUAUGUAGUGAAUCUUGCUUUCAUUUUAGAAAACUUCCAGUAAUGACUACUGCACUUUUUUAAAUAGAAGAACAGUAUUUAAUUUCUUUCUUUUAUGAAAGAUUAUUUCAAGUAAAAAAAAAAUAGCUCUGUAACCCAUGUGACAUGGCUUCUCCAUUACUUGAUACAGAGAAGUUUUGAUGCCUAAACAAUAAAAUGAACAUGUUUGUAAA